rnacentral:rRNA from 1 species
UACGAAGGGGGCUAGCGUUGUUCGGAAUUACUGGGCGUAAAGCGCACGUAGGCGGAUAUUUAAGUCAGGGGUGAAAUCCCGCAGCUCAACUGCGGAACUGCCUUUGAUACUGGGUAUCUCGAGUAUGGAAGAGGUGAGUGGAAUUCCGAGUGUAGAGGUGAAAUUCGUAGAUAUUCGGAGGAACACCAGUGGCGAAGGCGGCUCACUGGUCCAUUACUGACGCUGAGGUCCCAAACCGCCGGGAGCUUACCGCAUCAGCUGGCCCCGUAGUUC